rnacentral:sRNA from 1 species
AACUUUUAUAUAUAGUAACUUCAAAAAAUAAAACGUUUUGCGGUAUACCGCGGGUUAAAAUCUAACUAUACUUAUAAUACAUAUAAUAAUACCAAAAUCGUUGCUA